AUUGAACGCUGGCGGCAGGCCUAACACAUGCAAGUCGAGCGCGCGGCGGACGGGAGAGUAAUGUAUGGGGACUGCCCGAUAGAGGGGUAUAACUACUGGACACGGUGGCUAAUAGCGCAUACUAUCGGAUAACCCAUAUGGGAUUCGCUAGUAGGUGGGGUAAAGGCUCACCUAGUCGACACUCUCUAGCUGGUCUGAGAGGAUGAUCAGCCACACGGGGACGGAGACACGGCCCAGACUCCUACGGAGGCAGAAGUGGGGAAUAUUGCACAAUGGGCGCAAGCCUGAUGCAGCCAUGCCGCGUGUAUGAAGAAGGUCUUAGGGUUGUAAAGUACUUUCAGCGGGGAGGCGUUACCCGCAGAAGAAGCACCGGCUAACUCCGUGCCAGCAGCCGCGGUAAUAC
rnacentral:rRNA from 1 species